GAUGAAGAACGUAGCGAAAUGCGAUACUUGGUGUGAAUUGCAGAAUCUCGUGAACCAUCGAGUCUUUGAACGCAAGUUGCGCCCGAAGCCAUUAGGCCGAGGGCACGCCUGCCUGGGCGUCACACGUCGUUGCCCCCCCAUCUACUCCUUCGGGAUUGCGGGGGGCGGAUGAUGGCCUCCCGUGCGCCUCGUCGCGCGGUUGGCAUAAAUGCCAAGUCCUCGGCGACGCACGCCACGACAAUCGGUGGUUGCGAAACCUCGGUUGCCCGUCGUGUGCGGUCGUCGCGCAUCGAGGGCUCGAAAAAAUUGCCGGGCUCCGGCUCGGCUUUCAACGCGACCCCAGGUCAGGCGGGGUUACCCGCUGAAUUUAAGCAUAUCAAUAAGCGGAGGA
rnacentral:misc_RNA from 1 species